rnacentral:rRNA from 1 species
GAAUUUUGGACAAUGGGCGAAAGCCUGAUCCAGCAAUGCCGCGUGCAGGAUGAAGGCCUUCGGGUUGUAAACUGCUUUUGUACGGAACGAAAAGCUUUGGGUUAAUACCCUGGAGUCAUGGCGGUACCGUAAGAAUACGCACCGGCUAACUACGUGCCAGCAGCCGCGGUAAUACGUAGGGUGCAAGCGUUAACCGGAAUUACUGGGCGUAAACCUGGCCCAGCCGGUUUUGAAAGACAGGGUGGAAAUCCCCGGGCUAAACCGGGGACCUGCCUUUGUAACUGAAAGGUAAAAGUACGGCAAGGGGGGUGGAAUACCCGGUGUAGCAGUGAAAUGCGUAGGUAAGCGGAGGAACACCGAUGGCCAAGGCAACCCCCUGGGGCUGUACUGACGCUUAUGCACGAAAGCGGGGGGAGCAAACA